rnacentral:lncRNA from 1 species
UUUGAGGACGAAUCAAAGCACCCCCAAACCUAGGGUUCCGGCGGAUUUUCAUGAAAUUGAGGGUUUUCCAAGCCAAAUUGGCCUUAGUCACAGGUAUGAAAGUUUCUCUACUCAUCGAGAUCUUCAUUCCUCUUGGUUUAAUUAGUUAUUAGUCAUAUAGUAUAUUUUACUCUAGGAUUGAGAGUCUAAUACCGGGAGGAAUUAGUGAUCUUGCAAAGGAGUUCGUGAAGAUCAGGAGGUGUGCAAGCUAUAAGCUAGUGUAUAAGUUUCUUACAUUGGUCUUGGUGUUACCGGUUGCAACUACUUUAGUGUAGAGAGCUUUUUUUACUAUGAAUAUUGUGAAAACACCAAAUCAUAACGAAGUGGGAGAUCAAUGGUUGAAUGAUGACAUGAUUGUUGUUUACAUUGAGAGAGAUGCAUUCACUUUUAUUGAUAAUGAGUCUAUUAUGUGACGUUUUCAUUGCUAAAGUACGAAAGACAUAACUAUAUAUAUAUAUAUAUAUAUAUAUAUCCCAUUGUUUUCAAAAAAUAAAGAUUAGGUGUGGGGCCCACUCUACAUCGAACUUCAACGAUUCAAACCGUCUAUUUU